rnacentral:rRNA from 1 species
UACGUAGGGUGCAAGCGUUGUCCGGAAUUAUUGGGCGUAAAGAGCUCGUAGGCGGUUUGUCGCGUCUGCUGUGAAAACUCAGGGCUUAACUCUGAGCUUGCAGUGGGUACGGGCAGACCAGAGUGCGGUAGGGGAGACUGGAAUUCCUGGUGUAGCGGUGAAAUGCGCAGAUAUCAGGAGGAACACCGGUGGCGAAGGCGGGUCUCUGGGCCGUAACUGACGCUGAGGAGCGAAAGCGUGGGGAGCGAACAGG